CACGGCAGGAUGAAGAAAGAUGGCCUCUACAAGUAAGCUAUCGCUAAAGGAUGGGCCUGCGUCUGAUUAGCUAGUUGGUAGUGUAACGGACUACCAAGGCGAUGAUCAGUAGCCGGUCUGAGAGGAUGAACGGCCACAUUGGGACUGAGACACGGCCCAAACUCCUACGGGAGGCAGCAGUGGGGAAUCUUCCGCAAUGGACGAAAGUCUGACGGAGCAACGCCGCGUGAGUGAUGAAGGAUUUCGGUCUGUAAAGCUCUGUUGUUUAUGACGAACGUGCAGUGUGUGAACAAUGCAUUGCAAUGACGGUAGUAAACGAGGAAGCCACGGCUAACUACGUGCCAGCAGCCGCGGUAAUACGUAGGUGGCGAGCGUUGUCCGGAAUUAUUGGGCGUAAAGAGCAUGUAGGCGGCUUAAUAAGUCGAGCGUGAAAAUGCGGGGCUCAACCCCGUAUGGCGCUGGAAACUGUUAGGCUUGAGUGCAGGAGAGGAAAGGGGAAUUCCCAGUGUAGCGGUGAAAUGCGUAGAUAUUGGGAGGAACACCAGUGGCGAAGGCGCCUUUCUGGACUGUGUCUGACGCUGAGAUGCGAAAGCCAGGGUAGCGAACGGGAUUAGAUACCCCGGUAGUCCUGGCCGUAAACGAUGGGUAAUAGGUGUAGGAGGUAUCGACCCCUUCUGUG
rnacentral:rRNA from 1 species